CAAAAAAAAUUUUCAAAAAAAAGAAAAAAAAUUUCAUGGUCAAACAGACCCUAAUGUAUACAUUAUAUUUUCCAUUACAAACGACCCCUAAGUACGUCUGUACGUGAAUUAGAGACACUAGGGUGUUUACAUCAUUUCUCUGAGAUUUCUCAAUUCCCGUAGUUGUGACCUGAGCGCGAAGCUUUUGCUUAACAAUACAAAUUUGAGUUCUUCCAAAUCUCUCCAAAUGGAUACAGGAAAAUUAAUGGAGAAUGAUGAUCAACAUAGUGGACAUGAGAACAGUGUAGAGGUGAAUGAACCUGAAGAACCUAUGUAGAAGAAAAUGAGGCAGUUAAAAUCGUCUGUUUGGACAUAUAUUAGAAAGAUUGGUAGACGUAAGGUUGUAGAGGAAAGAGCAGUAUGCAGAGGUUGUAAGGAACUAUAUAAGGUUGGUUCUACUUCGGGACCUAAUGGUAAGAACUAUGGAACAUCACACUUAAAAACGGUAUAUGCUUAAAUGUAAAAUGAUUAAAUUUCAUUAUUUUGGUUAAAUGUAUAUGGAUCAGCAAGGUAACAUACAACCGAGAAAAAUAGAUCAAUUGAUUUCUCGUGAAAAGUUUGUUGAAGC